ACAGCAGCAGCCGCGGUAAUACGUAGGUCCCGAGCGUUGUCCGGAUUUAUUGGGCGUAAAGGGAGCGCAGGCGGUUUAGUAAGUCUGAAGUUAAAGGCAUUGGCUCAACCAAUGUAUGCUUUGGAAACUGUUAGACUUGAGUGCAGAAGGGGAGAGUGGAAUUCCAUGUGUAGCGGUGAAAUGCGUAGAUAUAUGGAGGAACACCGGUGGCGAAAGCGGCUCUCUGGUCUGUCACUGACGCUGAGGCUCGAAAGCGUGGGUAGCGAACAGGAUUAGAUACCCCUGUAGUCCCUGUCUCUUAUACA
rnacentral:rRNA from 1 species